rnacentral:lncRNA from 1 species
AGACAACGCUAGUAUCCAUCGUCCUAUUCGUCCUCUUAGUACAGGUUUCGAUAACAUAUAUUUUACCAAGUCAGUUUUACAGAUUACUCACACUUCUGUCGAUAAAAUAUAAUACCUCAAUUUUGUACAUGCAUAAUAUAAUACCAGGCACAAUUUUUCAAUUGCCGAAUAACGUUUUUCGGCAUCUAACAAUCGCCUGCUAA